GGUAUUUAAGAUGAAGCUACUCAUGUACUUGAUCUCAGCUGUCUUUGCGCCUACCACGUCUCUUCGCCCAAGCAACAAGUGCUUCCCCAUUCUGGUGCGAACCUGAAAGAUGUGAACAAAAUGAAUUGGUGUAAAUUCAUCGCUGACUUCCUGCAUGAUGCAUUCUCGACCAAGAUGUACCAGAAGGGUUGCCUCUUGCACCUAAUGCUCAUGUACGUCGAUGCUCUUGAUCUGUCCACCGUUGACUUUAC